rnacentral:rRNA from 1 species
AUUGAACGCUGGCGGCAUGCUUUACACAUGCAAGUCGAACGGCAGCGCGGGCUUCGGCCUGGCGGCGAGUGGCGAACGGGUGAGUAAUACAUCGGAACGUGCCCAGUAGUGGGGGAUAGCUCGGCGAAAGCCGGAUUAAUACCGCAUACGACCUGAGGGUGAAAGCGGGGGAUCUUCGGACCUCGCGCUAUUGGAGCGGCCGAUGGCAGAUUAGCUAGUUGGUGGGGUAAAGGCCUACCAAGGCGACGAUCUGUAGCUGGUCUGAGAGGACGACCAGCCACACUGGGACUGAGCCACGGCCCAGACUCCUACGGGAGGCAGCAGUGGGGAAUUUUGGACAAUGGGCGAAAGCCUGAUCCAGCAAUGCCGCGUGUGUGAUGAAGGCCUUCGGGUUGUAAAGCACUUUUGGCGGGAACGAAAAGGACUGUGCCAAUACCACGGUUCGAUGACGGUACCCGCAGAAUAAGCACCGGCUAACUACGUG